AUUGAACGCUGGCGGCAUGCCUUACACAUGCAAGUCGAACGGCAGCACGGGUGCUUGCACCUGGUGGCGAGUGGCGAACGGGUGAGUAAUACAUCGGAACAUACCUUAUCGUGGGGGAUAACGCAGCGAAAGCUGUGCUAAUACCGCAUACGCCCUGAGGGGGAAAGCGGGGGAUCGAAAGACCUCGCGCGAUUAGAGCGGCCGAUGCCUGAUUAGCUUGUUGGUUGGGUAAAAGCCUACCAAGGCGACGGACAGUAGCUGGUCUGAGAGGACGAACAGCCACACUGGGACUGGGACACGGCCCAGACUCCUCCGGGAGGCAGCAGUGGGGAAUUUUGGACAAUGGGGGCAACCCUGAUCCAGCAAUGCCGCGUGAGUGAAGAAGGCCUUCGGGUUGUAAAGCUCUUUUGUCAGGGAAGAAACACCGGCUCUAACACAGUCCGGGAAUGACGGUACCUGAAGAAUAAGCACCGGCUAACUACGUGCCAGCAGCCGCCGUAA
rnacentral:rRNA from 1 species